UGCGGAGUGGAGCAGUUGGUAGCUCGUUGGGCUCAUAACCCAAAGGUCACUAGUUCGAGUCUAGUCUCCGCAA
rnacentral:tRNA from 1 species